CCCUUAGAUGUCCGGGGCCGCACGCGCGCUACACUGAUGCAUUCAACGAGUUUCUUCCUGGUCCGAGAGGAAUGGGUAACCUUUUGAAAGUGCAUCGUGAUAGGGAUAGACUAUUGCAAUUAUUGGUCUUCAACGAGGAAUUCCUAGUAGACGUAGUUCAUCAGACUGCAUCGAUUACGUCCCUGCCCUUUGUACACACCGCCCGUCGCUCCUACCGAUUGAAUGCUCAGGUGAGCCAUUCGGACUUUCAUCAUGCUGGUUUCCAGUUUUGAUGAAGGAAAGUCUUGCGAACCUUAUCAUUUAGAGGAAGGAUAAGUCGUAACA
rnacentral:rRNA from 1 species